GGAGCUGAGACCAGUCGAAGAUACCAGCUGGCUGCAACUGUUUAUUAAAAACACAGCACUGUGCAAACACGAAAGUGGACGUAUACGGUGUGACGCCUGCCCGGUGCCGGAAGGUUAAUUGAUGGGGUUAUCCGUAAGGAGAAGCUCUUGAUCGAAGCCCCGGUAAACGGCGGCCGUAACUAUAACGGUCCUAAGGUAGCGAAAUUCCUUGUCGGGUAAGUUCCGACCUGCACGAAUGGCGUAAUGAUGGCCAGGCUGUCUCCACCCGAGACUCAGUGAAAUUGAACUCGCUGUGAAGAUGCAGUGUACCCGCGGCAAGACGGAAAGACCCCGUGAACCUUUACUAUAGCUUGACACUGAACAUUGAGCCUUGAUGUGUAGGAUAGGUGGGAGGCUUUGAAGCGUGGACGCCAGUCUGCGUGGAGCCAACCUUGAAAUACCACCCUUUAAUGUUUGAUGUUCUAACGUAGGCCCCUUAUCGGGGUUGCGGACAGUGUCUGGUGGGUAGUUUGACUGGGGCGGUCUCCUCCCAAAGAGUAACGGAGGAGCACGAAGGUUAGCUAAUCCUGGUCGGACAUCAGGAGGUUAGUGCAAUGGCAUAAGCUAGCUUGACUGCGAGCGUGACGGCGCGAGCAGGUGCGAAAGCAGGUCAUAGUGAUCCGGUGGUUCUGAAUGGAAGGGCCAUCGCUCAACGGAUAAAAGGUACUCCGGGGAUAACAGGCUGAUACCGCCCAAGAGUUCAUAUCGACGGCGGUGUUUGGCACCUCGAUGUCGGCUCAUCACAUCCUGGGGCUGAAGUAGGUCCCAAGGGUAUGGCUGUUCGCCAUUUAAAGUGGUACGCGAGCUGGGUUUAGAACGUCGUGAGACAGUUCGGUCCCUAUCUGCCGUGGGCGCUGGAGAAUUGAGGGGGGCUGCUCCUAGUACGAGAGGACCGGAGUGGACGCAUCACUGGUGUUCGGGUUGUCAUGCCAAUGGCACUGCCCGGUAGCUAAAUGCGGAAGAGAUAAGUGCUGAAAGCAUCUAAGCACGAAACUUGCCCCGAGAUGAGUUCUCCCUGAGACUUUAAGUCUCCUGAAGGAACGUUGAAGACGACGACGUUGAUAGGCCGGGUGUGUAAGCGCAGCGAUGCGUUGAGCUAACCGGUACUAAUGAACCGUGAGGCUUAACCUU
rnacentral:rRNA from 1 species